rnacentral:tRNA from 1 species
GGAUGCUUAGCUCAGCUGGAUAGAGCGUCGGCCUCCGGAGCCGAAGGUCACAGGUUCGAAUCCUGUAGCAUCCG